GACGAACCGUGCGAACGUUAUUCGGAAUCACUGGGCUUAAAGCGCGUGUAGGCGGGAGGGCACGUCCGUCGCUGAAAUCCCCCGGCUCAACCGGGGAACGGGCGCGGAUACGACCUUCCUGGAGGGCGUAGGGGGACCUGGAACUUCCGGUGGAGCGGUGAAAUGCGUUGAGAUCGGAAGGAACGCCCGUGGCGAAAGCGAGGUCCUGGACGCCUACUGACGCUGAGACGCGAAAGCCAGGGGAGCGAACGGGGAGUUAAGAUAC
rnacentral:rRNA from 1 species